rnacentral:misc_RNA from 1 species
GGCCCAUAGGUUGGGUCGUGACAGGAGAGUUCAACAGGGGGAAUAAAAUUGUGUGGGUUUGAUGGCCAGGAACUCACUCUUGUAGCCACCAAUUGGUGCAGAAAAGAUGAGACAAAGAAAAUAAUCUACUAAGCAUCACUUCAAAUCCCUUUCCAAAAUAGUUUAUUUCUAUUUUUCUAAAUAGCCUAAAUAUUCAUGCACACUAGUUGACAAUUAGAGAGGGAACACACACUGAACAUCUACUUGAUCCAUUCAAUAAAGUUUAGAUUGGGAAGGUCGAGAACUAAGGGAAGAGAAUUCCUCCAGUAAUCAGCGAUCAAGUGGCAUUAUUAAAAAAAAUGCUCCAUUGAUUCUUCAAAGCUAGAGUAGACCAAAGAUGAUA